UUAAUUGAAGCCAAAAAUAGAGGCUUUUCAUUGUUAAUGAAAGAAAUGAUUUAUAAUCCAUUUAAA
rnacentral:tRNA from 1 species